rnacentral:other from 1 species
AUUGUCCCAAAGUGUUCGUCAUAUACUUUAUUUUUGAACCUACAUCAUUUUAGAGGGAGUCUGAUUGUUCGCUGUUAGAUGUCGGGCCGUACCAGAUCACCGGAAGGCAGAAAAUAGAGACAAGACACCCACCUGGCUUACGCUAGGGCGUCAAAAAUAGAGGGCGACACAUUUGGGACAAGC